AGGGCUUCUGGAGGAAAGACUGGAAUCCAGAAUCCGGGCUUUCCCAGGCCAAGGGGAGGCCCUGGUUAGAAGAAAGCAAGAGGGGGUGAUUUUUAAGGCCCUUGCCCAUGGUCCACCCAGCAGGGAGGCCACAAGAAUCAGCCAGCUGAAGAGAAACAAACCAUUCCUAUCAGCCUAACAAGCUACUGACACUGUCUUCGUGAGAGAGACUCAUACUUGCAUUUCUCUUCCUCCAUGAAGAGUGUCAAACCAAAGACAAUGGGGACCCCAGCUGAUUCUGCAGCCUCUCCCGCCAAACACAUCUCUGAACACGUUCUCAUUGAUAACUUCCCUAUUUUCCCAGCAAGAUGGGGCACCAAAGAAGUAGAGCCAUCCCCAAGAGGAAGGGUUACCCUGUGAAGCGUGACCUCCCACUCACCUUGCGUCUUCAAAAAAAGAGAAGAUGACAACCCACUAUGAUGGGGAGGGAUCUCUAUAUUGGUGACAGGCCA